GGAUGAAGCUCUCCACUGGCAUCAUUUUCUGCUCCCUGGUCCUGGGUGUCAGCAGCCAAGGAUGGUUAACAUUCCUCAAGGCAGCUGGUCCAGGGACUAAAGACAUGUGGAAAGCCUACUCUGACAUGAAAGAAGCCAAUUACAAAAAAUUCAGACAAAUACUUCCAUGCUUGGGGGAACUAUGAUGCUGUACAAAGGGGGCUUGGGGCUGUCUGGGCUACAGAAGUGACUACAGCGAUGCCAGAGAGAACGUCCAGAGACUCACAGGAGACCAUGCAGAGGAUUCGCUGGCUGGCCAGGCUACCAACAAAUGGGGCCAGAGUGGCAAAGACCCCAAUCACUUCCGACCUGCUGGCCUGCCAGAG
rnacentral:lncRNA from 1 species